GUGUGUGUGUGUCAGAGACUGUUGCCCCAGGCUUUCUUCUGCAUUUGUGGCUAAAAUACUCAAGAACUGAUAUCUACAUACAUUACACACUCAGUCUCACCUCGGUUACCAUGGUGAUGUGGUGGUGUUCCGAGCCAAGAACAAAGUCUGUAUACAAACAAGAUAUCCUGAUUGAAGCGCUCAUAAAAUAUAUUUUUUUGCAAUCAAUAUGCAAGGACGAGAUCAAAUGAAUUCUGUUGAUAGUCCUGAUAGUGACAUUAGUUUAUACAAAUUUAUUUUACAAUAAACACAUGACUAGUUACUGAAUAUUAGGGGAUGGACUAUACUGAUAAGUUAUAGGAAUAUGAUUUACACUGGAACAAUGAAAAUGUGACUCUCUGUACCUGAAUGGACAUGUGAUUAUGGUGUUGCAAUAUACAGUAUUUAAUCACCAAUAUGGCAUUAGUGGUGCAUGUGUAUCAGUGAACAUAUCCCCAAUAAUUAUCAUCCAUCGCUGUAAUCAACACAACACUGAGAGCUGUGUGGUAGGUGAAUCCUGUGAAAACUUAGAACUAUUGUGUGCUGUGAAACUGUCAGCAGUUACAUUCCAGUCAUGCUAAAUAGUUCGUAUAUUUUGAACUAUGCUUAGAUUAUAGCAAAUCGUUCACAUGGGAUUCCAUAAGUCUCAUUCAGAAGUGAUGUUAUUCCAAAAUUUUGUGAAUAUUAUUUUCAUAUUCUUGUCUCUUGUGUGGCAAUACUCAGAAUUUGUGUUUGAUUUAGCAACAAAUGACCACAGUUGAUAAUAUUUGGACGUUGCUCUGACCAGAUAUUGAGUAAAAGAAUGUCUUGUGAGCUUCUGGCAUUCUCUGUUGGUUGUUUCAUGCCAUAGAAGAAAUCCUGCUAUGUGUAUCAAGUUGGUCGAUAAUGAAAUAGUGUGGAUACAACACCAUAACAUCCCUCAGAGAAGAUUGAUUCUCAGAAACCAGUUAUUGGGGAAUACUAUGCUGAAGUCAAUAUAUUAAAUGUAUGGCAAUACUUUAUUCACAGUGUGCUGUUUGAGCUAGAAUUGUGUUAAUGUAUGUUGCUGUAGCAGAGAAAAAGUUCAUUGUUAUAAAAGCCUGUUAUGUGGCAACACAGUACACUGAAUUCAAAAUGUUUAGUAGUUAGAAAGUUUAACACUUCACUAUGCAAGUACCGUUAAUGAAACAAGUGUUUAUCAUAGCAUAUUGUUUAUCAUAUUACGUUUAAUAUUGGGGUGCAUUAAGCAUUAGUUUCACCUCAGUUCCAAAGAGACAUAUUUGAGCUGAGGAAGAUAACACUGUAUGUAAAGCACAAAGUAGUCAUCACUUCUUUUCAGAAUUUGUACAUUCUGGCAGUAAGCUCCAGGAUUCAUUCUUGUCAGAGGUUUUGCUUUAUGUGAAUUGAGCUUCAGCAGUAGUUCUUGUCAGAGGUUUUAUGUUCAGUGAGUUGAGCUUCAGCAGUAGUUCUUGUCAGAGAUUUUACUGUUUGUGAGUUGAGCUUCAGCAGUAGUUCUUGUCAGAGGUUUUUCGUUCUUAGUUGAGCUUCAGCAGAACUAAGUGUUGGCUAACAACAUCACUGCCUUUUACCGCUGCAACCUUCCAUAGGGUAGAGGUCCCAUAAGCUGGGACUGAUACACAGGUGCUAUGUUACUGCUUGCGUAGCUCCAUGUUGUACAGUCAAUGUCUUGUUCAAGAUAAUGUCCCUGGCUGUAACAAAUGGCUUCACAACUUCCACCUCAACCUAUUUUAUAAUUUAUUGUAUGAUUUAUGUUUGAUGCAGCAUUAUUUUAUUUGAAAUCUUUAAUAUGUAAAGAGUAAUAUAUCCAUUGUAUUUCAAUCCACCGUUAGCUCUUCUAUGGUCAAUAUUAUCCUUUCCAAGAACUCACCUUCAUAAAUAGUAUUGUCAGCAUGGUAAACAAACUAGAUGUUACAAAGGUCAAUAGCACUGUAACCAAACUCCAUGGAUAUUGUAUUUAUCCAUACUAAGGACUGAUAAAAAAACUAUUGAAAAAUUAUGUUUUAAUGAGAUAAGUCUAUGUACCGAUGAAAUUACUUCAUAAAAACAGCUAUAAUGAUGUCCUUACUCAACACACUGUUUGAGACUGUAAUCAGUGAAAUGAAAUGUAUGGCUAUUUAUAUAUACUGAAUAUAUUGAUUUUAUAUUUUGUAAAAUGUCUUGUUUUAACAUUAUUGACCACAUGUACAAAUGCUGAUAUCCAUACAAUCAACCACAAACUUUUAAAAGUUUGUUACAAUGACUGGCUAACAGAGUUUUAACCCUUGCUUAAUCAAAUUAUUUAUUCAAUUUAUGCUCUAUAUAAUAUACAGGUUUGGCAACUGGAUUCCCUGUUCCAAAUCAUAUACAACUUCAAAGAUAAUCAAAUAACAGCUGUCUGACUGUGAAAUGAGCAGUAUAGAUUUACCCGUUGUCAGUUUUAGUUCACCAAAA
rnacentral:lncRNA from 1 species